rnacentral:tRNA from 1 species
GUGGGGAGAGUUCAGCGGUAGGGCAUGUGCCUAGCAUGCAUGAGGUCCUGGGUUCAAUCCCCAGUACCUUCA